rnacentral:tRNA from 1 species
CGGGAAGUAGCUCAGCUUGGUAGAGCACAUGGUUUGGGACCAUGGGGUCGCAGGUCAAAUCCUGUCUUCCCGA